AGAGUUUGAUCCUGGCUCAGGACGAACGCUGGCGGCGUGCUUAACACAUGCAAGUCGAACGGAAAGGCCCAGCUUGCUGGGUGCUCGAGUGGCGAACGGGUGAGUAACACGUGGGUGAUCUGCCCCUGACUUCGGGAUAAGCUUGGGAAACUGGGUCUAAUACCGGAUAGGACAAUCGUUUAGUGUCGGUUGUGGAAAGUUUUUUCGGUUAGGGAUGAGCCCGCGGCCUAUCAGCUUGUUGGUGGGGUAAUGGCCUACCAAGGCGUCGACGGGUAGCCGGCCUGAGAGGGUGGACGGCCACAUUGGGACUGAGAUACGGCCCAGACUCCUACGGGAGGCAGCAGUGGGGAAUAUUGCACAAUGGGCGCAAGCCUGAUGCAGCGACGCCGCGUGGGGGAUGACGGCCUUCGGGUUGUAAACCUCUUUCGACAGGGACGAAGCUUUUGUGACGGUACCUGUAUAAGAAGCACCGGCUAACUACGUGCCAGCAGCCGCGGUAAUACGUAGGGUGCGAGCGUUGUCCGGAAUUACUGGGCGUAAAGAGCUCGUAGGUGGUUUGUCGCGUCGUCUGUGAAAUUCCGGGGCUUAACUUCGGGCGUGCAGGCGAUACGGGCAUAACUUGAGUGCUGUAGGGGAGACUGGAAUUCCUGGUGUAGCGGUGGAAUGCGCAGAUAUCAGGAGGAACACCGAUGGCGAAGGCAGGUCUCUGGGCAGUAACUGACGCUGAGGAGCGAAAGCAUGGGGAGCGAACAGGAUUAGAUACCCUGGUAGUCCAUGCCGUAAACGGUGGGCGCUAGGUGUAGGGGUCUUCCACGACUUCUGUGCCGUAACUAACGCAUUAAGCGCCCCGCCUGGGGAGUACGGCCGCAAGGCUAAAACUCCAAGGAAUUGACGGGGGCC
rnacentral:rRNA from 1 species